rnacentral:rRNA from 1 species
AGGACGAACGCUGGCGGCGUGCUUAACACAUGCAAGUCGAACGGAAAGGCCCUGCUUUUGUGGGUGCUCGAGUGGCGAACGGGUGAGUAACACGUGAGUAACCUGCCCUUGACUUUGGGAUAACUUCAGGAAACUGGGGCUAAUACCGGAUAGGAGCUCCUGCUGCAUGGUGGGGGUUGGAAAGUUUCGGGCGGUUGGGGGAUGGACUCGCGGCUUAUCAGCUUGUUGGUGGGGUAGUGGCUUACCAAGGCUUUGACGGGUAGCCGGCCUGAGAGGGUGACCGGCCACAUUGGGACUGAGAUACGGCCCAGACUCCUACGGGAGGCAGCAGUGGGAAUAUUGCACAAUGGGCGGAAGCCUGAUGCAGCAACGCCGCGUGCGGAUGACGGCUUCGGGUGUAACCGCUUCGCUGUGACGAAGCGUGAGUGACGGUAAUAGGUAAAGAAGCACGUGACUAACGUACGUCGACCGAGCGACGCCGGUACGUACGUCGUCGGA